rnacentral:ncRNA from 2 species
UAUAUUUAUACAAUCUUAGGUGCCCCACUAAGGGGAGAAUAGGAAAAUCGGUCUAAUCCGAUACGGACCCACCACUGUAUAGACGAGUCCCCGCUGAUCCACUGGCGUAUGCUGGGAAGGUGCGUUCAGGACGUUUGAGUCUGAGUCAGGAGGCCUGCCUAAGAGGUAAAAGUCUU